rnacentral:lncRNA from 1 species
GGGAAGUGGAGUUGAAAGGAACUUCUGGAGGCCGGUGGUUAACUCUUGGUGAGAAGGAGGGAUGUGCCACCAACACUGGAUACGGGGUUUGGAAUGGGGAUUUUUGGCUGCACGGACACACAGGAGGAAGGUGAGCUGAUGCCUCAGCCCUGCGUUAGAGCCACAUAAUGGAAUAGGACGGAAGGUGAAAGACUCAUAGCAGAGGAGCAGAGAAAGUGGGAAUCCAGAGCUUUCUAGGAUCUUCUUAAAGGAAUCACCCGCUGAGAACACGACUUUAAAUUCCCGGAGUCCCCUUGGAAAGGAAAUCAGGCAUCAGCAGCUCCCACGUCCAUCCCCUGGGCAUCAGGCACCUUCCAGCCCCUGGGGGGGGUUGGGGGGUCACUUCCAUGCUCCCCCUCAUUCCCCUGGAAACUUUGCUACCGUAGUUCCAAGUUCUGCCGGCGUUCCCUUCUCUGCUCUAUUUGUUAUCCUAAUAAAAGUUUCUCGGCUCUGCCAUAAAGUUGUCACUUGGAAGGCAUGUUAUGAAACAUGAUGUGGUGGUGUGUGGGGUGAAUAUGGAUAAAGGGGGUGGGGG